rnacentral:rRNA from 1 species
AUUGAACGCUAGCGGGAUGCCUUACACAUGCAAGUCGAACGGAGUGGCGAACGGGUGAGUAAUGUAUCGGAACGUGCCCAGUAGCGGGGGAUAACUACGCGAAAGCGUAGCUAAUACCGCCUACUAUUGGAGCGGCCGAUAACGGAUUAGCUAGUUGGUGGGGUAACGGCUCACCAAGGCGACGAUCCGUAGCUGGUUUGAGAGGACGACCAGCCAACCUGGGACGGAGGCCCGGCCCAGACUCCUGCGGGAGGCAGCAGUGGGGAGUUUUGGACUAUUGGGGAAACGCUGAUCCAGCCAGCCCGCGUGUGCGAUGAAGGCGUUCGGGUUGUAAAGCACUUUUGGCAGGAAAGCGGUACCUGCAGAAUAAGCACCGGCUAACUACGUGCCAGCAGCCGCGGUAAUUC